GCUGCAGGGGCUGCGGGCUGUUCUGGCAACACCCCAGCCCACUGUGCCACUGUGGAGCAAAAAUCUUCUCUUAGGAUAAGAAAUAUGUGCAUGUACAUGCACUCAUGUACACAAACAGGCUCUAGGGGGAAGGUUAAUGCCUCUGUAUGAAUCUCUGCAGGCAUUUCCUACUGGGAACAUUUCCCAGUUUAGAAAAACAUGUCAUGGAGGGUGCUGCAGCUCUCCUGUCUUGGCAUGUUCCUCCCUCUUUUGUGAGCCCUGUCCAGGAGCAGAGCUCUGGCUUCUGGAGGCUGCACAGGUCAUCAGGAGCACACAGAAGAGCUAUUUCUGCCAUCCCCUCUCUUUCUGCUACCCAGGCAUGCUGACAGCUCUUCAAUGCUUGCAUAAGAGGGUAGCUGAUAAACAAAUGUGCAUGGCUUUGUGGUGACUCUUGGGAUAUGCAGUACAUGGGAAAAUGCUCCUAGCUGCUUCCAGACUCAUAGAUGGAGUGCAUUUCUUUGUCUUCAGAAGCUGUGUGUGAAGAACCUCCUGGAAUGUGUCCUAGAAAAGUCCCUGGCUUGACUGGGAUGGAGACAGCCAGUGGAGAGGGUGUGGUUUCCUGUGGGAGAGUCCUCACAAAAUACCCAUCAGAACUGGAAAAUGUUGCAGGUGGUGGAGGUUUACUCUUCCAGAGUUAAAUCCACAGGGUUAAAUGCUGUCAACCUGUUCUGAGUCUGGGGUUUGGAAAAAAUCUGUCUGAUGCCUGGCAAAUAGGAGUCUACAUGGAACAAAACAAGUCUUGUCACUUGCCAGCUUUGCCAGAAAAGCCCAUGGGAGGGUUGGGCCUUGGAGUUUUAAGCAGCUUUUCUCUCUCAGAAGCAAUCUGCCUCAUGUCAAAGGAUUUCCCCAGAGGAGACCGCGUAGUGUGCAGACAGGAAGCCGAAGUAUCGAGCUCUGACCAGAGCUUCCUCCUGCACAGGAGUGGGGCUUUCUCUGACUCGAGCCUUCGACUCUGCUGCGUGCUCUGAGCCUUGAAACCUAAAGGAUGAACAGCACCCAGAUGUCCCAGCUGAGCCCUCCGAGCACGGCGAAGGGAGCACUUCAGCGUGCCCCUUUUGCAAGGUCAGCACAGCAGGUCUCACCUCUGCUGGCUGUGUUGCCUUCCUGGCUCCUUCAAGGUCAGCACAGCAGGUCUCACCUCUGCUGGCUCUGUUACCUUCCUGGCUCCUUCAAGGUCAGCACAGCAGGUCUCACCUCUGCUGGCUCUGUUACCUUCCUGGCUCCUUAUCAGCCCGGGAAUCAGAGAGGGACUUUCCAGAGCUGAGAACUUGUGAGCUGAAGAGAUGGAAUGAACCCAUAUGCAAAUCAGUUUUGAUUCCCUUCCCUAUAUAAAGUUAAAAUGUUUUUGAGAGAGAAUCAGAUCCUGUGGAGUGUGGGAGUCCGAGGAGGUUACCUUGAGCUGGCAGUGCCUCUGUCCCUGCUGUCUGUCCGUCUGUCUGCCUUUCCAUUGUAGACAACAAAGUGCAGAAUAGAAAACAAGAAAUGCAAACCUGUGCUGAUUGAAAUGGAGGAAGGAAAAUGGAAGAGAAAAAGCUGAAGAGUGGGAAAAAGAUAAAAUAAAAUGAAUUUUGGGGAUUCCACUGUGAGUAAGAGCCGAAAAAAAUGUAAGCUGGUUUAUUACAUGUUUGUCUUCUGCCUGAGUGCCAGUACACUUUGUAUAUGUGAAAGGUAAUUUGCACAUUAAAGAUUGAAUCAAAAUGCCAACUUCUUCCUCAAUUCCUCCAGUUUUGAACCAGGACAGAUCUGUCGGCUUUGAUGGGUUCUGUAAAUGCAACAUAAUGAAUAUCAAGUCUUUGAAGUAAUUUUGAGUUAUACUUAUGCUAAAGCAAUGAGAAGUUUUGGAUGACUUUUAAAUACUGUUGUGUCACGGAAUCUGCACAUUUUCUAGUGCUUCUCUUCACCAUGCAGGAAUUUUUUUCUCUUGCCCUUCUAAUGCUGUUGUGACUUUAUUCCAAAUCCAGUGGAAUUCAGAAAUAAGGGGUGGUGGUAUCAUUAUGUGCAUUAAUAUUUUCCUUGAAUUAUGAUUUAUAUAUAUAUUAAUUUUUUAAUUUUAAAUCUCUGUCUUAACCCACUUAAUAACAGCUAUUUAAACAGGGAGAGGAUGUGAGUUAAUUGAUGUAUGUAUUUUUUUCUUUUCCUCAAAUUCUCCUGAUUUAGAAAUGACAACAUUUGGUUGUAACAGAAGAGUUUGGCUGUCCCUGGUUUUCUUUCACAGCAAUUCUUUACUUUUUUGAAAUGGUUUAUUUUGAUUUUUUUAUGUGCUUUUAGCUUAUCUAAGCAUCCAAAUUUGCUUUGCAGCAUGGAAAAAUGGGAUGGAGAAAUCUCCACUCUUCUGUGGUGGAUUUCCAACAAAUUCCCUGUUGGGUUUGUGCAGGGAAGGGUUUCUGGAGUUUGCAGGAUAAGGCAGCUCCCCUCCCUUCACUAGAGUGAUUAGAGACAGGCAGUUACUCUUUCAUUUUUCUGAUUACUUUGAAAAAUGCAGUUUCACUGAACUGAAAUUAUUUACAAAGCUCACCAGAGUGCAGCAAAUAGUCUUGGGUAAAUAAUCAAAAAGUAAAUUUACUUUAACAUUUUGAGAAUUAAACUUUCAUUUUUUUCUUAAAAAAAAAGCUUUGCAUUUUUUAAAUUUCUCAC